rnacentral:rRNA from 1 species
AUACGGAGGGUGCAAGCGUUACUCGGAAUCACUGGGCGUAAAGCGCGCGCAGGCGGUUUGAUAAGUUGGAUGUGAAAUCCUAUGGCUCAACCAUAGAACUGCAUCCAAAACUGUCAAACUAGAGUCUGCGAGAGGAAGAUGGAAUUAGUUGUGUAGGGGUAAAAUCCGUAGAGAUAACUAGGAAUACCAAAAGCGAAGGCGAUCUUCUGGAACAGUACUGACGCUGAGGCGCGAAAGCGUGGGGAGCAAACAGGAUUAGAAACCCCAGUAGUCC